UUUCAACAUCUCACGCCAGUUCUGUUUUGAUUGUCACUUUUCGGUCUCAUUUUAGGCUCUUCGUCUCUCUCUCUCACACUCUCUCAAACUCUCCGAUCAUUAUCUGUCUAGAAUUUUCUUUUGUUUCUAAACAGUAAAAUUCGACUUUGAUUUGUGGAAUCUCAAACAAAAGUGGCGUUGCUUGACAUUUGAGUUCGAUUUAUUGAGUUCUUAACCAAGUAUUUGAAUGCUGAAAUUGGGUUUCGCUUACUCUGAAGGUCCAACUGCUUCAAAAAGGAUUUAUUAUGAUCUGUGCUAUACAGUAAUGUAUUUCUCAGAAGUUUGAUAUUUGGAACAGACAGAAAAGAAUUUAUGCAGAAUCUGACAAGUGAAAUUCUAUUCUACCCAAAGUCUGUAGCACGAAGCUCUGAAAAUUUUCUCCAGAGGUUCAGGCUCCCAAAACUGCCAUGGUUCACCAAGUGAAAUCUCUAGGAAUGUUGAUCUUGCUGUGAUUGUUCUAAGGUGAGAUCUAGAAGCCUGAAAACGGUUUCUUUAAAGAACAUUCUGUGUGUUCCAUAUGCAUCAUGUUUUAGUGAUACUUGCACAGUUUAAAGCAACAUGUCGUCUUCAUUUAAUCUAUUGCAAGAUGCAUUAUCUUGAGUUUAAAAUUUUUGUUUUUCAGUUAAUUUUCCAUUCCAGUUACUGUAUUUGUAUCUUUUGUUGUUGGUAAAAAGAGGAUAAUUAUAUAAGAAUAAGCUGCAUUUAAGUUGCGUGAUGCA